rnacentral:rRNA from 1 species
UUUUAAGCUAUAUAUUGGUAGUAAUUAAUAAUUUAUGAAAUCAUAAGAUUUUGGCGGUAUUUUAAGCUUAUUAGAGGAAUUUGCUCUGUAAUGGAUACAACGCCUUAAUCUUACUUAAUUUGGUUUUAAAGUCAGUUUGUAUACCACUAUAUUUAAUUAUAUUGAAUAAUUAUAUUUAAGAUUUUUUUUUAUAAAAAAUAUAUUAAGUCAAGGUGCAAUUUAUAAUUAUGAAUGAAGUGAAUUACAUUAAUUUUAAUUUUACUUAAAUAUUGAAAAAAAAAAUUAUAGGAUUUAAUAGUAAAA